CCUACGGGGGGCUGCAGUGGGGAAUAUUGGACAAUGGGGGCAACCCUGAUCCAGCCAUGCCGCGUGUGUGAAGAAGGCCCUCGGGUUGUAAAGCACUUUCAGUGAGGAAGAACGCCUGGUGGUUAAUACCCAUCAGGAAAGACAUCACUCACAGAAGAAGCACCGGCUAACUCCGUGCCAGCAGCCGCGGUAAUACGGAGGGUGCGAGCGUUAAUCGGAAUUACUGGGCGUAAAGCGCGCGUAGGUGGCUUGAUAAGCCGGUUGUGAAAGCCCCGGGCUCAACCUGGGAACGGCAUCCGGAACUGGCAAGCUAGAGUGCAGGAGAGGAAGGUAGAAUUCCCGGUGUAGCGGUGAAAUGCGUAGAGCUCGGGAGGAAUACCAGUGGCGAAGGCGGCCUUCUGGACUGACACUGACACUGAGGUGCGAAAGCGUGGGGAGCAAACAGGAUUAGAUACCCUAGUAGUC
rnacentral:rRNA from 1 species